UUUGAAAAUAUUUACAUGUAUUUACAUGUAUAUAUUUCUAUUCAUAUAGAUUAUAUCAUAUAUAAAUAUAUUUAAUACAUAAACAUUACAUAUUUUUCUUAAAUAUAUACAUGCAUGUGUGUGUAUUUAUAUACACAUAAUAAAUAUACACAGUACACACACAUAUAUUAUGUAAACAAAAACUUUUAUUUUGGAUGCGAUUAAUCGCUAUUAAUCGUUUGACAGCACUAAUAUAUAUAUAUAUAUUCAUUUUAUUUAAAAUAUGUUUUAGAAAUCUGUUAUGUAGAAUGUGAAAUUAAAUCGGUGACUAUUUUUUUUCUUUUUGAUUCCCCUACAACAAUUUAAGAACAAUUAUCCAAAAUGUUUACUAUAUGUGCAUAUGUUUUAUCAUGAAAGCUUUUGUAAAAUUUUGUAGCAAAUUUCAGUUAGCGAAUGUAAUUUUAUUUAUUUUUUUUAUACAGCUCUAUGACCUUUAGCCCAUAUGCACAUUGCUGUAGACCGAAAGAUGGCUGGCAAUCCUCAGACCAUUCCUUAUUCAAGCACAAGUCAUAAAACCAAAAGACAAAACAAACACAAACAGUUGUGGGCGACUGACCUUGCCAAACAUUUAGGGAAAGACAGCUGGAACAGUACUUAAUGUCGCUUCAACAAAACCCUUUUAAUUAGAAAAUAGCAGCCGAAGAAACUAGAUGGGGUCAUGGAAAGUGAGCUUUGUUUAUUAAAAAUUUCCUUAACUUUUAUUUAUUUUUGUAUAUUAAUUAGCCCUAUAGUUAUCCUUUCAUAAUUGAAAGGAACACUAACAUAACAACAGAAUGAAAAGUGAUGCUUCGGCGCCAAAGGGUGAUGGGAAUGCUGGGAUAUGCACCUUUGUCUAAGCUCUUGUUUGUGUCUGGCUAUCAUCAGUAUCAUUACAAUGCUAAUCUGGGUGUGGUUGGCAGGAAGAGAAUUGGCCCAGUAUACCCAAAACAAAAACUGGAGCAGCGAACCCAGAGCUUCAGCAACUAUGAAGCAGAAAUCUGCGGGGUUGAUGAGUUUACUUGAUUCAUUUCACAUCAGUGAUGUAAGGAGGCCUGGUGCCACAAAAACAAGGGCCAUUGUUGAAGAAAGUUAUCCCAGAACUUGUGAGAAGUGGGGCCCUCAAAUUGUGUCUUUCUGGCCCCCAUGAAUUUAAGUGACAUCCCUACUGAAAGGGCAUUUCGGUGCACAACCGUUUUGCAGAUUUCUGCAGCUCAAGCAAAUGGAAACCACACUGAACAGAGAUCGAAAUAGAACACAAAAAGCAGGCGAAAGAAGCACUGUCAUUUGAAAUGCCUGACAAAGCACACUUUUAAACCUCUUCCCUGAAACAGUCCAGUGACUUUGACACAGACAUCCCAAAAACAGUCAUUCCCGGCGAGAAAAUAUGGAGGCUUAUUUUGGCCUCCAGACGUUCUUGUCAAACAGUGAGCAUGUGCACAUCCUCUCUCUUGAGAAGUGCUGACGUAACAACACGUUGACACUGCACGUUCCAGCGACUGUCAGGCAUCGACAUUGGUUUAGUUUCCUUUCCAUUACUCAGAGAAACCUGAUCCCAGGUCAGGUGUUGAAGAGAAGACGUCAUCCAGGGAAUUUAACAUGUUGAGGCGAUCUUGGCAGGAUGAAACUGUGUUUCAGAAUGCCUUGCAACUUUUAAAUGGGAUGCGAAAUUGGGCCAUGUAUGUUGACAAGCUGUAAAGUGAGAUCCAAAAGCCUUUUCCCAGUGUGGCUGUAGCUUUAUUAUCAUUCCAGUUGCAUUCUGGGACAGCUCUGUUAUUAAAGGCCACCCAUUAGUCGUGGAGGCAAGAGCCGAGGACUUUUCCAGUCAUGACUGUCUCUCGGCUGUUGCCUGGAGAUGGCGUCUCCCUAGCAGCGGAAGCGGAUAUCAUGCAUGCUGGGGUUCGUUGUCGCACAUGAGAGGGAGAACCAAAUCUAAUCCUCUUCCUGUUGAUCCCACUCAGGAUUCCCAAACUGCCUCUUCCCACGUUGACACAAAUACAUGGGCCCAUGUGACAUCCUGUGUGGAAGAGACGAACAAUAAUGAACUACUACGUCAAGACCUGGGAACUGCGCUGUGAGAGACGUACCAUCACACCUCAGACACAUCAAGCCAGUUCCACUCUCGGCUCUUAAGUGUUUAUUGUCUCGUC
ensembl:lncRNA